GCGGGCGUAGUUUAAUGGUAGAACAAAGGUCUCCAAAACCUUUGGCGUAGGUUCGAUUCCUACCGCCCGUGCCA
rnacentral:tRNA from 2 species